ACGAUUAGAGUUUGAUCAUGGCUCAGGACGAACGCUGGCGGCGUGCCUAACACAUGCAAGUCGAGCGGAGUAUUAGCAAUAAUACUUAGCGGCGGACGGGUGAGUAACACGCGGGCAACCUGCCCUUGAGAGGGGGAUAACACGGAGAAAUUCGUGCUAAUACCGCAUAACCUUUAGCUGUUGCAUGACAGCUUUAGCAAAGAUUUAUCGCUCAAGGAUGGGCCCGCGUCCCAUUAGUUAGUUGGUGAGGUAACGGCUCACCAAGACCGCGAUGGGUAGCCGACCUGAGAGGGUGAUCGGCCACAUUGGAACUGAGACACGGUCCAGACUCCUACGGGAGGCAGCAGUGGGGAAUAUUGCACAAUGGGGGAAACCCUGAUGCAGCAACGCCGCGUGAGCGAUGAAGGCCUUCGGGUUGUAAAGCUCUGUCUUCGCUGACGAUAAUGACGGUAAGCGAGGAGGAAGCCACGGCUAACUACGUGCCAGCAGCCGCGGUAAUACGUAGGUGGCAAGCGUUGUCCGGAAUUACUGGGCGUAAAGGAUGCGUAGGCGGUGAUUUAAGUGGGAUGUGAAAUACCCGGGCUCAACUCGGGAAUGGCAUUCCAAACUGGAUUGCUAGAGUGCAGGAGAGGAAAGUGGAAUUCCCAGUGUAGCGGUGAAAUGCGUAGAGAUUGGGAGGAACACCAGUGGCGAAGGCGACUUUCUGGACUGUAACUGACGCUGAGGCAUGAAAGUGUGGGGAGCAAACAGGAUUAGAUACCCUGGUAGUCCACACCGUAAACUAUGAGUACUAGGUGUAGGGGGCGAAGCCCUCUGUGCCGCAGUUAACACAUUAAGUACUCCGCCUGGGAAGUACGAUCGCAAGAUUAAAACUCAAAUGAAUUGACGGAAUCU
rnacentral:rRNA from 1 species